AAAAAAAAAAAAAUCAGUUGCCUCUAAAUAAACUGAAUCCUCACAAAAAUAAGCCAAUUCAUGCUUGAAUAGCCAGUCUCACUUGAUUCAUAACAAAACAAAUAACAAUGUCCUCACCCCGAAAAAAGAUCUCAACAAGGGGAGACAAAAAAAUUCCUCCAAUUUAAGGAUAUAAAGGAAGUGAAAAUCUCCUUAUUCAGUUUUAAAUGAUGGGAGCCAAAUCUAAGUUACAAUAUCAGAACUGCCCAGCUGCUUUCAGGAAACAUCAAAAAAUUUAAUGUAACUUUGGACCAGGCUAACAGCCACAACAGCAAAGAAAGGCUAACUCGUUUACAACUGACAUUACCAAAUUUAUUCAAAUAAUAAAGCUACAGGUGAUGCCACAAUCAAAUUUGAUACUGUAUAGAUAUUUAUCUCAACUCAACUUGUGAAUCGUUUUCAUGUCAACUGCUUCCUUGAGUGUCCCAUUUUCGACAUUUUCCCACCAUUUCAACAAGAAGUUGUCCACAACUAGUCUAAACCAAGGUGACAAAUUUAUACCUUCCUCGCCAGAAUCCGCCUUCCUCAAGAGCUCCUUCAACUGAUCCCGGUUAACAUACUUUACAUCAGCUACCUCAUCAGGGUUUGGAUUUACAUUAACAUCACGGACUAUAAAGAGCAGAUAAUCAACUGCAAAUUAAUGAGGGGUGAAAAAAAAAGAGUUAACACAACUUUGGAUGAAAACAGUAUCCAGAGAAAUGAAGUCAGGCUAUCAUAAAUUAAUGAUAUAAAUCCCCACAACUUGAAGCUGUGGAAGGCCCUGCAUAUUUGCAGUAGGGAUGCACUGAAAAAAGUAUGGUUUCCAUAUCAAAGAUUCAAAUAAUACAAGUUGAAACAUGGCAGGACAAAAUAAAAGCAGAAUGCCAAAUAGGAGUAAGAUAAAUCAAAUUUAAAAUAUUACGUUCAUGCUCUCCCCAUUUUCCAUCAGAAGGCGCCUUGUAUAGCAUGCGUCCCAGUGGGGUAAACUGAUCAACUGGAACAUCUUCAGCAGGGAUACCAAGCUCAUCCAAAAGCUUCCUUUGUGCAGCAUUUCUAACACCAAGAGCAUCCUCAUCAAUAAGCUCAGAUUCACGAUACAAAGGAUGACUGCAGCAAGUGUUUGUCCAUACAAGGGGGAAUGUUACCUUUGUAGCAGAGCGUUGCUGUCAAGAAACAAAGAAAAAUGUAUAUUACCUCAACAUCUUAUUGAUUUUAACAAAAUAAUUGCCAAAAAAACAUAACCACAAAAUAUGGACAAUCUUCCAGCACCAAAAGCAGAUUCUUAGCAUAAGAAUUCCUGAAUUCUUUUAGUUCUAUCAUGUAGAUGUUCCAAUCCUCAGGUCUCAAGUUGUCAAAUAGCUUAUGCAGUUUGCACAAAUUCUUCCAUACAGAAAAACACACUUAAACAGCAUAUCCUUUUCCCCUCCAGUUUCUCAAUCAAUUGUUCAAAAAAAAGUUCCAGAAUCUGAACCCUCAUACACAAGCAACUAUACUUUAACUUCCAUAUUGAUCAGAUACCUGAAGGAGCAGCUCAUAUUUUGAGUUAAAGAGAAAUACGCUAAAAGCUCGGUGUAAUGAGUUCCCCUUCAAAAUAUUUUCCCAUAAAUGACCUGCAAAUUAAGAAAGCAUCAAAUCAUGACAAAACCAAAGUGAAAACAGUUUUUUAGUCUGUGCCCAAGGUGCCCAUAACACAUGGUACAAAACAGCAAAUUUAUGCUUCCAAAGCAAAGAUAUGAGGUAAACAGAGUAGUAACCCCUUGAAUUACUUGAACAUAGAGCAACAAAACAAUGGAAUUCGAAAAUUUAAAAAGAUUUCAACUUCAAGAUUUUCUUUGUUUCCAAGAAAAUCGAUUGUUUGGAUUGCUUUAACUAGCAAGAUAACUGUAGUAUUAUCACAUUAAGCAGAACAUCCAAACUAAUAACAAGAUAUAAAAACAGGUUAGCUACAUACCUAGAUAUUAAAUGCCCAACAAAACUGUGGCAUAAAAAAAUAUCUUGCAAAAAGCCAUGACAGGAAAAUUUCACUUACAACUAUAUUUGGAAGCAUGACCAACAGCACGAUCGUUCUCAUCUACUAAAAUGCAUUCAUCCUCAAACAUGAGGCGUCUCUGGACAGCAUCCAUGCCAGUAUCAGGAGCAUCACCCAUGGUGGAAGUAGAGGUGGUUGCAGGUGGAGGAGACGAAAAUACCCUGGAGAAGGAAGAGGAAGAAGAAGGCUUAAGAGCGAGAGGGAAUCGAAGGAGAGAGGGAGGAGCAAAAUGGGAAGAGAGGAAGUGAGAAUAGCGAGGAGAAGCUGAGGACGGAAGAUUGGAGGAGAGCCUGGUGGUGGUGGGUGUAUUUAGAAGGCGAGAGGCGAGAGACAUUUUAUUUUAUUUUAUUAUU
rnacentral:misc_RNA from 1 species